AACGAACGCUGGCGGCAUGCCUAACACAUGCAAGUCGAACGAGACCUUCGGGUCUAGUGGCGCACGGGUGCGUAACGCGUGGGAACCUGCCCUUAGGUUCGGAAUAACUCCCCGAAAGGGGUGCUAAUACCGGAUAAUGUCUUCGGACCAAAGAUUUAUCGCCUUUGGAUGGGCCCGCGUUGGAUUAGCUAGUUGGUAGGGUAAAAGCCUACCAAGGCGACGAUCCAUAGCUGGUCUGAGAGGAUGAUCAGCCACACUGGGACUGAGACACGGCCCAGACUCCUACGGGAGGCAGCAGUGGGGAAUAUUGGACAAUGGGCGAAAGCCCGAUCCAGCGAUGCCGCGUGAGUGAUGAAGGCCUUAGGGUUGUAAAGCUCUUUUACCCGGGAUGAUAAUGACAGUACCGGGAGAAUAAGCUCCGGCUAACUCCGUG
rnacentral:rRNA from 1 species